ACGGAAAGUUUUCUUGAAAACCCCUCGAGUUUUCGAAGAUACUAUCAAGGCAUGUCUUUUUUCAAACAAACGGUAAUCUUUUUUAAACGCAAAUUACACUCACAUGAAAUAGAGAUGCAAUUUUAAGUUAUUUGCAAAAUGUAUUUUCACUAAACUGAAGAAAUAUUGGAUAGGAAAUGCAGAAACCUGAAUAAAACCUACACAGGCAUUAAAGACAAGAUUGGGAACACUGGAACCAGAACCAGGUUGAUGAAAUACAUAGGGAGGACAAAAAACAGUUAACCGCCCUAACCUAAUAAACUCGACAGCAGUUCCUGUUAUCAGGAAAAAAGCCCUUUGCCGAAAAUAAGAAAGACCCACCCGCUAUCCCAGUGACUUCCCACUCCAAUCAAAGCAACACCUGUGUACCCUAGAAGUACCAAAAUUAGGGAGUCAAAGGGUUGAAUGUUUUAUCUACGAAGAAGGCUGACAAAUAUCUUGUAAGCUCGCAAGCAAGAAAAUCCAGAAAGAAACAAAUAAAAUUUUGCACUUACGUGUGGUAGCUACUCUUCUAAUCAUAUCAAAUGUCUUGCUGUGCAAAAAAAUAGACCUCUUUUAAUAAGUUUAAAAAUGUAGGCCUCGAAAAUAUUCUAAUAAGUUGCCUUCAUAACUCCUUACCA